rnacentral:misc_RNA from 1 species
AAGUCGUAACAAGGUUUCCGUAGGUGAACCUGCGGAAGGAUCAUUAUCACGUAUCCAAACGUAUCAACCCAACUUGUGAACCGGUUGUCUCCCUUUGUAGAAUUAGAUAGGAAAGCGUACUGAUGUAUGGAUGGUAGGCGGAAACCCCUCUUGUUAUGAGAGUGUGGUGAAGACCCGCAUCAAUACAGUGAUCGGAAAACGUAAUUCGUAUCGAAAGAUAUGUUGAUGUAACACGUCUUUUUCUGCAAGGGCUUAUGUUCUCUAUAAAGCUUCUACAUCCAUGAGUGAUAUAGAGAACGAUGUUUUUUUAUUAUUAAACCAUUUUCACCCAAUUUUCCAUCAGUUGAUUUUAUUUGUGGGUUGUUAUGAAAAUAAUGAUUCCACGUUCUUAAUUGAACACAAUUACAACUCUUAGCAAUGGAUGUCUAGGUUCUC